UACGUAGGGGGCUAGCGUUGUCCGGAAUUAUUGGGCGUAAAGCGCACGUAGGCGGUUCGUUAAGUCAAAUGUGAAAGCCCCCGGCUCAACCGGGGAAGUGCAUCUGAAACUGGCGAGCUAGAGUACGAAAGAGGGUCGCGGAAUUCCCGGUGUAGAGGUGAAAUUCGUAGAUAUCGGGAGGAACACCGGUGGCGAAGGCGGCGACCUGGGUCGAUACUGACGCUGAGGUGCGAAAGCGUGGGGAGCAAACAGG
rnacentral:rRNA from 1 species